rnacentral:rRNA from 1 species
GAUGAACGCUGGCGGCGUGCCUAAUACAUGCAAGUCGAGCGAACAGACGAGGAGCUUGCUCCUCUGACGUUAGCGGCGGACGGGUGAGUAACACGUGGAUAACCUACCUAUAAGACUGGGAUAACUUCGGGAAACCGGAGCUAAUACCGGAUAAUAUAUUGAACCGCAUGGUUCAAUAGUGAAUGACGGUCUUGCUGUCACUUCUAGACGGAUCCGCGCCGCAUUAGCUAGUUGGUAAGGUAACGGCUUAUCAAGGCAACGAUGCGUAGCCGACCUGAGAGGGUGAUCGGCCGCACGGGAACUGAGACACGGUCCGGACACCUGCGGAAGGCAACGGUGGGGAAUCUUCCGCAAUGGGCGCAAGCGUAACGGUACAACGCCGAGUGGGAGAUGAAGAUCUUCGGAUCGUAAUACUCUGUUAUUAGGGAAGAAGAAAUGUGUAAGUAACUAUACACUUCUUGGCGGUACCUGAUCAAGAAGCAACGGCUAACUACGUG